rnacentral:rRNA from 1 species
CCUACGGGAGGCAGCAGUGGGGAAUAUUGCACAAUGGUGGAAACCCUGAUGCAGCGACGCCGCGUGAGUGAAGCCGUAAUUCUUUAUGUAAAGCUCUAUCAGCAUGGGAGAAAAUGACUGUACCUGAGUAAUAUUCCCUGGCUAACUACGUGCCAGCAGCCGCGGUAAUACGGAGGAGGCAAGCGUUAUCCGGAUUUACUGGGUGUAAAGGGAGCGUAGGCGGCAUUGCAAGUCAGGAGUGAAAGGCGGGGGCUCAACCCCCGGACUGCUCUGGAAACUGUACGGCUGGAGUGCAGGAGAGGUAAGUGGAAUUCCUGGUGUAGCGGUGAAAUGCGUAGAUAUUAGGAGGAACACCAGUGGCGAAGGCGGCUUACUGGACUGUAACUGACGUUGAGGCUCGAAAGCGUGGGGAGCAAACAGGAUUAGAUACCCCAGUAGUC